AGCAGCCGCGGUAAUUCCAGCUCCAAUAGCGUAUAUUAAAGUUGUUGCAGUUAAAAGCUCGUAGUUGAAUUUCGGGGUUAGUACGCUGGUCGUGCCUUCGGUAUGUACUGGUGUUACUGAUUCCUACCUUCUGAAGAACCGUCAUGUCAUUAAUUUGGUGUGGCGGGGAAUCAGGACUGUUACUUUGAAAAAUUAGAGUGUUUAAAAGCAGGCUCGCGCUUGAAUACAUUAGCAUGGAAUAAUGAAAUAGGACGUUUGAUCCUAUUUUGUUGGUUUCUAGGAUUGACGUAAUGAUUAAUAGGGAUAGUUGGGGGCAUUAGUAUUCAAUUGUCAGAGGUGAAAAUUCUUGGAUUUAUUGAAGACUAACUACUGCGAAAGCAUUUGCCAAGGAUGUUUUCAUUAAUCAAGAACGAAAGUUAGGGAUCGAAGACGAUCAGAUACCGUCGUAGU
rnacentral:rRNA from 1 species